rnacentral:rRNA from 1 species
GCUCAGUCGUAAACUUUAACUUACAUCUUAUCGCCAGGGAACUACGAGCUAAGCUUAAAACCCAAAGGACUUGACGGUACCCCAUAUCCCCCUAGAGGAGCCUGUCCAAUAAUCGAUAACCCACGUUUAACCUCACCAUUCCUAGUUACUCAGCCUGUAUACCUCCGUCGCCAGCUUACCUCGUGAGCGCUAACCUUAGUGAGCAUAAUAUUUUUCAAUAAUACGUCAGGUCAAGGUGCAGCAAAUGUAAUGGAAAGAGAUGGGCUACACUUUCUAAAUUAGAAGAAACGGAAAACUUUAUGAAACCUAGUCAGAAGGCGGAUUUAGUAGUAAAAUAAGAUCAUUAUACUCAUUUAAACUCGGCACUGGGGUGUGUACACACCGCCCGUCACCCUCUUCAAAGCUAUCGCCUAGUCUUUAACAAACUAAAGCAUAAUAGAAGAGGCAAGUCGUAACAUGGUAAGUAUACCGGAAGGUAUGCUUGGAUAA